GACGAACGCUGGCGGCGUGCUUAACACAUGCAAGUCGAACGCUGAAGCCUAGCUUGCUGGGUGGAUGAGUGGCGAACGGGUGAGUAACACGUGAGUAACCUGCCCUCUUCUUUGGGAUAACGCCCGGGAACGGGUGCUAAUACUGGAUAUUCACUGGCCUUCGCAUGGGGGUUGGUGGAAAGGUUUUUUCUGGUGGGGGAUGGGCUCGCGGCCUAUCAGCUUGUUGGUGGGGUGAUGGCCUACCAAGGCUUUGACGGGUAGCCGGCCUGAGAGGGUGACCGGUCACAUUGGGACUGAGAUACGGCCCAGACUCCUACGGGAGGCAGCAGUGGGGAAUAUUGCACAAUGGGCGAAAGCCUGAUGCAGCGACGCCGCGUGAGGGAUGGAGGCCUUCGGGUUGUAAACCUCUUUCGCUCAUGGUCAAGCCGCAACGUUUGGUUGUGGUGAGGGUAGUGGGUAAAGAAGCGCCGGCUAACUACGUGCCAGCAGCCGCGGUAAUACGUAGGGCGCGAGCGUUGUCCGGAAUUAUUGGGCGUAAAGGGCUUGUAGGCGGUUGGUCGCGUCUGCCGUGAAAUCCUCUGGCUUAACUGGGGGCGUGCGGUGGGUACGGGCUGACUUGAGUGCGGUAGGGGAGACUGGAACUCCUGGUGUAGCGGUGGAAUGCGCAGAUAUCAGGAAGAACACCGGUGGCGAAGGCGGGUCUCUGGGCCGUUACUGACGCUGAGGAGCGAAAGCGUGGGGAGCGAACAGG
rnacentral:rRNA from 1 species